rnacentral:lncRNA from 1 species
CACCGACUCGCUGUCUCUCUCAGUUCCCAACUUUCUGUGGCCCAGAUGUGAAGCUCCCCUCUCCACGUUAAUAAAUGAAGAAAUGGGAGAGCUAGGACUGGAUACAUUGCGUUACCCAACCAGCUUAAUUUGUGGGGAGACCUUAGAUUUGGAAGAUAUUACAGAACGAGGCUCCUCAGGAGACAAAUCUCAGUCAUGAGAACAAAUGUUAUGUUCCAGGGGUCUAGUCCCACUCUGAUGAACCAGGUACAUCAUCACUGUGCAACCAACAACACUAAACUUCCUGUACCUGACUUGAGCAAUACUGCAGCAGUAGAUGACUCUCUUGGCUGGCUUCAGAAUGAGUUGAUCUGAGGCUUUCCAUUUAAUGUAAUCAAAUGUCUCUGGAAUGAUCGUACAGUUUAUGGAUUGUGAUCUGGAAAGGGUCAAUGUAGUAUCACAUUUUGGCAGAUGAAUUUCCUAUCCCCAUGGUGGAAAGUGGAAUUUGGAUACUAUUGAUAGAUACUUCAAUGAUAAUGAAAGCACCUUUUGCAAAUUAUGCCAUAACAUAUCUGAAAUAUUACCCAUCAUGCCUCUUCCUUAGGAAAUAACUAUGACUGUAAACUGUUUGCAUUUUUGUUUUUCUUCCCGAGUUACUUCUACCUUCUGAAUCCAAUUCUCCCUGUGCAACAAGAAAACUGUUUGGAUCUGCACACAUACAUUGUAUCUAGGAUAUACUAGGACAUAGGACUGCUUGCCAUCUAGGGGAGGGGGUGGAGGGUGGGAGGGAAAAAUCGGAACAGAAGUGAGUGCAAGGGAUAAUGUUGUAAAAAAAAAAAAAAAUUACCCAGGCAUGGAUUCUGUCAAUAAAAAGUUACUAUAAUAAAAAAAAAAAAAAAAAGGAAAUAACUAUGCCAGCAAGUUUUCUCAACUCUGCAAUUCCCAAGGUCUAUGAAUGGGAAGUAUACUUAUUUGACAGACACACUCCUCUCAGGAAAGAAAUUAAAUUUCAUAUUCUAUGAUACUACUAUUGAGUCAAAUUUAUAAAAUAUAAGAGCCAUUCUUCAAUUGAUAAAUAAAAAUUCCCCAUAUUUUUGAGAAAGUAGGCCUUCAUUAGAGAAACUUGCUUCAGAAUUCUUUUUAUAUCUAUUAUUUGUUAACUAUAUUUGCCCAAUUUUCUCUCUUCUUUUAAUCUAUCUCUCCUCAAAAGUGUUUUGCUUCUGACUACCAUCUACCUUGAUAUACUUUUUCUGUCACCUUCCUCACUUCCCUUAACCCCUUCCUCUCCUACUUUCCUGCAGGGUGAGAUUUAAUUAUUUUUCAUGGCACUUUAGUUUUUUUUUUAAUAUUUAUUUAUUUAAAAUUAAAUAUAAAAUAAGAAAAAACAAAAUAGAAAAAGACAGAAAAGGAAAAUAAAUAAACUAAAACAAAACAUUGUCAUAUGGCCUGCAGAACAUCAGGGAGAAUUCAAAAUAGGUAACAAUAAAUUUCCCUUUCAAG